rnacentral:rRNA from 1 species
UUUUGAUCCUGGCUCAGAUUGAACGCUGGCGGGAUGCUUUACACAUGCAAGUCGAACGGCAGCACGGACUUCGGUCUGGUGGCGAGUAUGGCGAACGGGUGAGUAAUGUAUCGGAACGUGCCUGUGUAGCAGGGGAUAACUACGCGAAAGCGUAGCUAUUACCACAUACGCCCUUCGAAGGAAAAGCAGGGGGACCUUCGGGCCUCGCACUAUUAGAACGGCCGAUAUCGGAUUAGCUAGUUGGUGGGGUAACGGCUCUACGCAAGGCGACGAUCCGUAGCUGGUUUGAGGACGACCAGCCACGCAGGGACGGACGGCCCAGACUCCACCACGGGAGGCAGCAGUGGGGGUACGGACAAUGGGGAAACCCUGAUCCAGCCAUCCCGCGUGUGCGAUGAAGGCCUUCAGGUUGUAAAGCACUUUUGGCAGGAAAGAAACGGCACGGGAUAAUACCCCGUGCAACUGACGACACCUGCAGAAUAAGCACCGGCUAACUACGUGCCAGCAGCCGCGGUAAUACGUAGGGUAAAGCGUUAAUCGGAAUUACUGGGCGUAAAGCGUGCGCAGGCGGUUCGGAAAGAAGAUGUGAAAUCCCAGAGCUUAACUGGAACUGCAUUUUAACUACCGACUGAGAGUGUGUCAGAGGGAGUGGAAUUCCCGCGAUGUAGCAGUGGUAAAAGUAGAUAGCGGAGGAACACCGAUGGCGAAGGCAGCCUCCUGGGAUAACAUGACGCUCAUGCACGAAGCAUUGAGGGCAAGCAGGAUUAGAUACCUGGUAGUCCACGCCCUAAACGAUGUCAACUAGCUGUUGGGGCAGCGGACACUUGGUAGCGCAACUAACGCGUGAAGUUGGUGACCGCCUGGGAGUACGGUCGCAAGAUUAAAACUCAAAGGAAUUGACGGGGACCGCACAAGCGGUGGAUGAUGUGGAUUAAUUCGAUGCGGCGCGAAAAGCACUUACUACCGACAUGUCUGGAAUCCCGAAGAGAUUUGGGAGUGCUCGCAAGAGAACCGGAACAGGUGUAUGGCUGUCGUCAGCUCGUGUCGUGAGAUGUUGGGUUAAGUCCUGACAAACUCAACCCUUGUCGAUAGUUGCUACGAAGGGCACUCUAAUGGGAACUGCCGGUGGCUGACCGGAGGGGAAGGUGGGGAUGACGUCAAGUCCUCAUGGCCCAUAUGGGUAGGGCUUCACACGUCAUACAAUGGUCGGGACAGAGGGUCGCCAACCCGCGAGGGGAGCCAAUCCCAGAAACCCGAUCAUGAAGUCAGGAUCGCAGUCUGCAACUCGACUGCGUGAAGUCGGAAUCUUCAAUGUCGCGGUCAGCAUGUCGCGGUGAAUACGUUCCCGGGUCGCAGCCACACACCCGUCACCAUGGGAGUGGGUUUUACCAGAAAUGGUUAGCCUAACCGUAAGGAGGGCGAUUACCACGGUAGGAUUCAUGACUGGGGUGAAGUCGUAACAAGGUAG